rnacentral:rRNA from 1 species
UACAGAGGUCCCAAGCGUUGUUCGGAUUCACUGGGCGUAAAGGGUGCGUAGGCGGUCGGGUAAGUCGGAUGUGAAAUCUCAGGGCUCAACCCUGAAACUGCAUUCGAUACUGCCUGGCUAGGGUACUGGAGAGGAGACUGGAAUUUACGGUGUAGCAGUGAAAUGCGUAGAUAUCGUAAGGAAGACCAGUGGCGAAGGCGAGUCUCUGGACAGUUACUGACGCUGAGGCACGAAGGCCAGGGGAGCAAACGGG